GGGCCACCUCCCAGGAUGAACCACUUGAACUUCAGUCGGAUGCAACUUAAGUCUGCAUUGAAGCCCCGCCCACGCCCUCGUAACCGCCAGCCACUGUUCCUCCGUGAGACUGCAAAUAGUUCGUACUUUAAGCU
rnacentral:lncRNA from 1 species